AACGAACGCUGGCGGCGCGCCUAACACAUGCAAGUCGAACGAGAAGGCGUAGCAAUACGCUUGUAGAGUGGCAAACGGGUGAGUAAUACGUGGGUGACCUACCCUCGAGUGGGGAAUAACCCGCCGAAAGGCGGGGCUAAUGCCGCGUACGCUUCCGUCCUCACGGGGACGGAAGGAAAGCUGUACCGUGGGUACGGCGCUCAAGGAUGGGCUCACGUCCUAUCAGCUUGUUGUAGGGUAACGGCCACCAAGGCUACGACGGUAGCUGGUCUGAGAGGACGAUCAGCCACACUGGGCACUGCGACACGGGCCAGACUCCUACGGGAGGCAGCAGUGAGGAAUAUUGCGCAAUGGGCGAAAGCCUGACG
rnacentral:rRNA from 1 species